rnacentral:rRNA from 1 species
UACGUAGGGUGCGAGCGUUGUCCGGAAUUAUUGGGCGUAAAGGGCUCGUAGGCGGUUUGUCGCGUCGGGAGUGAAAUCCACUGGCUUAACUGGUGGCUUGCUUUCGAUACGGGCAGACUGGAGGUAUGCAGGGGGAGAACGGAAUUCCUGGUGUAGCGGUGAAAUGCGCAGAUAUCAGGAGGAACACCGGUGGCGAAGGCGGUUCUCUGGGCAUGUCCUGACGCUGAGGAGCGAAAGUGUGGGGAGGCGAACAGG